UCGCGAGGUGGCACAUGGCCGUGCCCGUCGGCAGGUUCACGGCCUGGGCUAUCUUCGGGCACGGGACCGGUUCCUUCUGGCCCGCGAG
rnacentral:tRNA from 1 species